rnacentral:lncRNA from 1 species
GUAAAAGUAAGCGUGCUGACCUAAACAUCAGUGAAGGCACUCAUUGAUAAAGGUAUAAAUAUUGGUACUUUUAAUAUCACACGAGUUUAAUAACAGGAAAUGUUUUUUUCCUUUAUCUUUUAGGUUUUGAGAGAAGCCUGUGAAAGACCGUGAGAUUAUUUCUAACAGUAUCACUGUCAUGGGAUCAUUUCACUGCAUGUGUUGAGGGACAGAAAAGUUCUUCAAGAUGUUUAUAUUUAAAGAUGACCACUGCCAGCAUGAACAACUUUUGCCUCUCCUUGAGCUUGGAGUUCAUAACGCUGUCUGAGCAUGGUAAGCCCUGGAGUACCCAAACAAGGUGAACAUUCAGCUCCAGAAAUUUCAAACCCAGAGCUAAACAUGGAGUUUGUAUUUCACAAAAGGAAUCGAUUUAGGAUCAUCAUUUCUAGCUUGAAAUACGCCAAGAUAAACAUCUUUCCUGCUCUAUCCUUUCAUCCCUCUUUGUAGCAAAUUAUUGUGGACCAUGGGCAGGUAACGUGUCUGUUGUUAGAAGCAAUGCACCAAAGCUGCCAAGCGACUGAGAGCUUCAAACCAGACCUGACAGGACUUGAGAACCCCAACAGAUUGUUUUGGUUUUACUUUUGAGAUACUUCAAACAGACAUGUACAAAAGAAAAGUCACAGGAACCUGUCCUGGCUGUUGGCCUUGUCUGGGGGUUACAGCGUUGCCUGGC